rnacentral:rRNA from 1 species
GACGAACGCUGGCGGCGUGCCUAAUACAUGCCAGUCGAGCGAACAGAUGAGGAGCUUGCUCCUCUGACGUUAGCGGCGGACGGGUGAGUAACACGUGGAUAACCUACCUAUAAGACUGGGAUAACUUCGGGAAACCGGAGCUAAUACCGGAUAAUAUAUUGAACCGCAUGGUUCAAUAGUGAAAGACGGUUUUGCUGUCACUUAUAGAUGGAUCCGCGCCGCAUUAGCUAGUUGGUAAGGUAACGGCUUACCAAGGCAACGAUGCGUAGCCGACCUGAGAGGGUGAUCGGCCACACUGGAACUGAGACACGGUCCAGACUCCUACGGGAGGCAGCAGUAGGGAAUCUUCCGCAAUGGGCGAAAGCCUGACGGAGCAACGCCGCGUGAGUGAUGAAGGUCUUCGGAUCGUAAAACUCUGUUAUUAGGGAAGAACAAAUGUGUAAGUAACUAUGCACGUCUUGACGGUACCUAAUCAGAAAGCCACGGCUAACUACGUG